CCGAGUGAGGGUCCUCGUGGCCCAACCUCCCACCCGUGAAUACAUUACCCUGUUGCUUCGGCGGGCCCGCCUCACGGCCGCCGGGGGGCUUCUGCCCCCGGGCCCGCGCCCGCCGGAGACCCCAACACGAACACUGUCUGAAAAUGCAGUCUGAGUUGAUUAUUUUAAUCAGUCA
rnacentral:misc_RNA from 1 species